AAAAAAAAGUCCUUGAUUCCAGGACUUUACAUGGGAAGUAGGAAUGAAUAAAAAGUCCAAACACAUUGCGCCCAUGCAUGAAGGUGACUUUGAUGUGAUGCCUUGCUUGGUUGUUUCAAGGCUUGAACGCAGUGAAAUUCCAAAUAAAGCACGCUUAUGGUAAUCGAUGCACUUUUCCAACGAUCAUUCCAGGCUCAGUCUGUGUAUGGCAGAAAAGUUUUUUAGGUUCAUCAUUUGCAGAACAUGCAACACUCUUGGAAUCGGACUGUUUGAUAGCGCUCCUGUCCCUAAACCACUUUGUGGACCGUCGUAUAGUGUCUGUUACCUUUCACGAGAAGGUGCAGAUAUUGCUUCUGUUGCAUGGAUUACCGGUACAAGAUUGUGGAUUUGACCAGUUUCUUUGUGAUUAUACUGAUUUAUCAUGAUGUUACUUAGUAGUAGAUUUAAAGUGGAAUGUCUAGUUACAUUGUUUAUUAUAUAAUUAUGGUGUGUUACGGUAUAGCUAAGAGGAUUCAUUGGGGGUAUAUUUCAAUUAGUUCUAAAUUUAUUUUCCUGUUGAAUUUGUCUGCUUUGUUUAUUAAAUUGUAACUGUGUCAUUUACUAUUUUUUUAGUAUAAAUUUAAAAGUACUCUGCUUUGAAGAACUUACAACUAAGCCUAUUUAAAAAAAUACACAGUUCUAAAAUCUCUUAAGCUUAAUAAUUUUGUCAGAUUCUACUGAUUUGAAAUAACUUACUUAAAUACUUUUUAUUCACAUUAAUAGCAGAAUUUAAUCAAGGGAAAAAAAUUGCAAGAUCAUUUUUGGUCUUAGCUGUAAGUUCUAUAUAAAACCUAGCACUGAAGUAUAAUUCCUAAACUUCGUUUGUGAUAAUUUUUCUUUCUACUUUAAGGACAGAUGAUACAAACAAACCUUUAUUUAAAUUCUUGAAUAUAACAACUUAAAUCAUGUUUAUAUAAGUAAAAUGAAUAAGUUUAACCGCAUAGUUUUUUUAUUUUUCAUUCAAAGUUUCACAAUAAGUGGAUUUUAAGUGACAAAAAGUUGUAUAGAUUAAUAAGGGUGGUUGCAGAAAGGUGGAAUUUUAAGCAUCUUAGAAAGUUUACAAUUUCUUAAUAUUUUAGAAAUUUAUUAUUCUAAUCAUUUACAACCAAAAUAAGUUAAAAAUUAUGUACCUAUCCAAACAUCCAUUUUUUGUUUGUUUGUAUUAUUUGUCCUUAAUCAUAACCAAACAUCAUAAAUAUAUAUAUGCACUAUUUUUUGUUCAUCAAUAAAGAAUUUUAUCUACA